GAAGGACUUCUCCUAGGACGAGUCAGUGCCCAAGCAGAAAAUUAAUUUCAUUCCAUCCAUCUGUACAUGACCCCAAACCAUCCCCAGCCAGGGAGACUGUGGAGUUUUUCCAUGAAUGCAGAUUGAAAGGCAGAGGCAGCAGUGCAGGACGCUGGUGGGGGCGCAGGGAGCGGCUCGGCUCCUGGUGGCACCGCUGCUCAUCCCCUGCGCCCCUUUCAGGCACCACCGAGAGACCCACUUUUGGGCAACGGUUUGGUUGAGUUUUCAGCUCCGUUAGGGAGUGCCUGGGCGGCACCAAAGCGUGCAGGUGGGCUUCUUUACCUCUGAGCCCUGUGAACGUAGCUCGGAAAGUAAUGCCUCUUAUUUAUUUCUAUGGAAACUACAACAGGUACAAAGAGCACGACAGCACUAACUGGUGGAGCAGAUCCUCAGCUACAAAACACUGUUUUUCAACACAGACACCAUCACAGCUACGCGUUUUUGCCAGCAAUGGACAAGAGCCUGCAUGCCACACUCUGCAUGUAGGCUCUGCACCAGCAGAGGUGACCCACUGUCAGCGCUGCUCACACGUACCACCCGCCGCCUCACUCUGCUCACAGACACUGCUGUCCCCAUCAGCGUUCACAAGCGCCGAUGAAUGUCGGUGGGCGCCAUUUUUCUGCACGGAGGGAUUCAAUUCCACGCCUUUGCUUUACACGCACUUCCAAGUCAGCCGCCAUUUUGUCCGACCUCCCCUCUGCCGCCAUCUCUCACGCGGCAACAACGCCGAACGGGGUGUUGGUGGAAGGCCCAACGUGCACUGCCAUCCCGCCGCCAUGCGCUCCUGACAGCGCGGAGCGGCACCGCAACGCAGGAGGCAUUCCUUUCGGAGCGGCCCUCACGGAAGGCAGCACGAGCGGUGCAGGUGGCGCAGAGCUGGGGCUGUGCCGUCGCCCUCCUCCUUCCCCCGCCUCACCUCCGUGCUUCGCCCCCCGCUCCCUGCGGGACGAGCCGCGCGGUGCUGCAGCCGGCCCUGCCGGGCUCCCCGCUCUGCAGCCGGCCCGCAGGUACCGCACAAGGGCACGGGAAGGACGUUUCCUUCCGGAGCGCCACUCUGGAAAUUAAUGGACGCGGAGGGUUUUGUGUCUGCUGAGGGAAGCGGUUCUCGAGCCGCGGGUCACGGCGCGCCUGGAGCCGGCUGGGGCUGCUAAGUGGGUCACGCUGCGCUGCGGGCCGGUGACACGCGGCGCGGGGCCAGCCCU
rnacentral:lncRNA from 1 species